UACGUAGGGUGCAAGCGUUGUCCGGAAUUAUUGGGCGUAAAGAGCGCGUAGGCGGUCUAUCAAGUCAGAUGUGAAAUCUCCAGGCUUAACCUGGAGGGGUCAUUUGAAACUGGUAGACUAGAGUACAGCAGAGGAUAGUGGAAUUCCCGGUGUAGUGGUGAAAUGCGUAGAUAUCGGGAGGAACACCAGUGGCGAAGGCGGCUAUCUGGGCUGAAACUGACGCUGAGGCGCGAAAGCUUGGGGAGCAAACAGG
rnacentral:rRNA from 1 species